UGUAUUUACUUUCUCAUUUGGCUGUCCGUCUGUCACUGUCAUUUUUUAGUCGACCAUAGAGAGAGAACAACAGAAAAGAGGGGUAAGAAAGUUUUUAUGAAUAUAUUAAUUGAUAGUUAUGUGUGCGAGGAUAGAGUGGGGGAGAGAGAGAGAGAGAAGGAGAAAAACUCAAAAUCGCGACGUGGUAAGAAAGGGACAAAGGGGGAAAGAGAAAGUAGGCAAAUUCACAUAGCAGCAGGUUAUGGUUCGAAAUUAUCCAGUGCACCAAAUAUAUAAAUACAAUUUAUACGUCACAUUUUUAAAAUUCUAUUAUAAAAAUUUAAAGUCUCUAACUUUUAAUAUAGUAUAUUUGCAGUUAUCAAAUUAGAUUUAAAUUUUAUAAUAUUAGUUUUUAAAAAAUAAGUUUAUUGCAUAUGAAUAUGCGAUGAUCCAAUAGAACAGUGCUGCAAUAAUUUAUUAUAGCUGAGAAGAAAAAGAUAGAGUGGUGAAAUAGAAAUAUUCCGCACAUUAGAUGUAAAAACAAAAUUUUAUAUAGUAUAUUCUUAAAUUUCAUUAUAAAAAUUUAAAUUUUAUAAAUUUUUACAGAUAGUCAUUUUAUAUGGCUUAAAUCACAUGCAUCGAAUUAAAUUUUAAUUUUAUAAUAUUAAUUACUUAAAUAUAUAUUGUACAAUGAGAGAGAUUGAUGAAAACUCUAUGUGUGAGAGAGAGGAGAAUUAUGUUGAAAAAAAAUUAAUAUAAAACUAAUAUUAGUUUUUUAAAUAAUUUUUUAUUAUUUGAAGAGAAAUGAUAUU
rnacentral:lncRNA from 1 species